rnacentral:lncRNA from 1 species
UGACAUCACAUGCUUCCUGUGGAAACUGUGCACAAUGCACUUGGAGCAGAAACUGGGAUUCACUGGCUCACUUGGGGGAUGCUGUACCUCUGUCCUUCUUGCUUCCCAUAUGGCUCAUUGACUGGCAUGAACUCACCAGCCAUUGUUUCUUGUGUAGAAGGUGUUUCAUUGGAAGGACCUUGUAGAGCAUGUCCCCAGGAGCUGCCUUCCUAGCGGACUGGAGACUGGGUGUCCUCCAGGAGGGGCCACCGAUCAAUUUGAUUUGAGGACUACCCUUCAUGAUCUCAUUUUGCUUUAUAUCGCUGAGAUGAUCCAUUGUCCAGGUAAGUUCCCAUUUCCAGGUUCCGGGAGUGGGAGCCUGCCUGCAAAUUGUAUUUGGAGGAGGACAGGGGAAGUCACUACAGGUUAUGUAUCAGUUGGAGUCCUGAGUGAGAGUCACUGGAGCCAUCUACUGAAAGGCUGCAAAUAGAGUAUCCAUGGGAUAAACAAUUAUUUUUAAGACAGGCCGUUUAUAUGGAAUGCUUUGAACUUGAACCCAGGGCCUCUAGACUUACGCAGUUUUUGGUCCCAGGAGUAACUGGCUUGUUGGUUGAUCAUAAGCUUUGCAUGCUAGCCUUACUCUUUCAAGGUUUUUAUUAGUCUUUUCUUUUUUUUUCUUUUUAAAAAAGUCCAUUUUAAUUGGAGAUUUUGACAUUGACAUUAUUCGGGUUGGGAAGAGCCUGAGGCAACAUAAAGUAAUUGUCUUUUAUCAGAAGAGUUCAGGAGGACACUGGGUGAUCUCCAUCAACUCUGAAAACACGGAGUCCUUCCUGAAAUACCUUCACAGUGAAAAGGACUACUUGUCAGAUGUCGAGGCCGGGAACCGGUUUGGAGAUUCUUGUGUGAUCGUUUGAGGGUGUAUGGACAUCCACAGAGUGUCACUGCUUAGCCAGUGUGGUCCAUCUUGUUAGACCAUGACUGUGCAUGCAUGGCCAGUCAGAAGCCUCUCAGGAGGUGACAUACAUGCUGGCAACACUGGGGAAUGGGCCACACAUGUCCUGGGUCACUCAUUCUCUUGACUUCCUUUACUAUGUUUUAUCUUUCAUCGUUCUAACAAAAUAUAUGAAUCUGGGUGCUGUA